GCGGCGAUAGCUCAGUGGGUAAAGCGCCAGGUGAGUAGAUGGCGAUUACUCCGACAGCUAUUAUCCGCGCGGGUUCGAAUCCCACCUGUGGCA
rnacentral:tRNA from 1 species